rnacentral:misc_RNA from 1 species
GAUGAAGAACGUAGUGAAAUGCGAUAAGUAAUGUGAAUUGCAGAAUUCAGUGAAUCAUCGAAUCUUUGAACGCACAUUGCGCCCUCUGGUAUUCCGGGGGGCAUGCCUGUUCGAGCGUCAUUAUAACCACUCAAGCUCUCGCUUGGUAUUGGGGUUCGCGGUUCCGCGGCCCCUAAAAUCAGUGGCGGUGCCUGUCGGCUCUACGCGUAGUAAUACUCCUCGCGUCUGGGUCCGGUAGGUCUACUUGCCAGCAACCCCCAAUUUUUACAGGUUGACCUCGGAUCAGGUAGGGAUACCCGCUGAACUUAAGCAUAUCAAUAAGCGGAGGA